UAUAAAGAUACAAGCAAUACAAGUUUUGAAAAGGAGACUCAACGAAAAACGGAACGAUAACUUUUCUGGACGCUCGCAGCUUUCCAUGCUCUCCAGCAUGCUCUCCAGUCUCCAUGCUGUUUGGCAGGCCUGAGUCAGCCAUUGUAACAGCAAAGUUUUGCUUGUGCUGGACAUAGUGUUUGACUGUUGACCUCCUGUCAUCAGGAACAAUCACAGUAUCAUCGGUUAGCAUCCUGUUUAAUUGGAGAAACCUCCAGUGUCGGCCGAGUUAAGGAUCUCUUCAAAUCCCCUUUCUUUAAAUGUCCUCGUGUACGCCCAUGUGAAUGUGGGUGUAUUCACGAGGACUCUCUUUGACCCUUUUUCCUAUCCCUCGAUCCUGGUGGUGUGGUGGAUUCGAAUUUUCUGUGGAAGGAUGGAGCACCUGGAUGUGGAUGCCUGGCUGUACUUCCCAGGCUUCAAGAGGAGGUGCGUAACGGGCGACGGCGUGUAAUGACUUGCCUUAUAUGGGCACAAAGAGAGAAAACGCCGCCAUCACCUCCUCCAGUGGCUCCUUUUUCGCCCGGCUCUCGCGCCGCUCUGCCGAGAUGCCGUGCGCGGCCCCGGACGACAAUUUCUCAAUUCCCACAAGGUGUUUUUUUUUUCUUCUUCUUCUUCUUUUCUGUGCUGUUGUUGUUGUCUUGUUGUUCUCUUCUUCUUCUUCGCCUGAUUGUCGUUGUACUUUUCUCAUUCUUCAUGCCUCUCUUCAGCACUUAGACGACGACCCAAAGCCGCCGAUGAUGAUGAUGAUGAUAUCUGACGGGGGCUCUUAUAUUCUUCUUCUCUGAUUAUUGUCAUUAUGUACCGCGAGAAAGAAUGGGAAUAAAGAGGAUGA